AGAGUUUGAUCCUGGCUCAGAAUGAACGCUGGCGGCGUGCCUAACACAUGCAAGUUGAGCGGUAAGGCCCCUUCGGGGGUACACGAGCAGCGAACGGGUGAGUAUCGCGUGGGUAACCUACCCAGAAGUGGGGAAUAGCCUCGGGAAACCGGGGGUAAUACCGCAUAAGGUUUCGACGACAUAAGUCGAUGAGAGCAAAGGCGGGGAUCCUUCGGGACCUGUCGCUUCUGGAUGGGCCCGCGUCCGAUUAGCUAGUUGGUGAGGUAAUGGCUCACCAAGGCUGCGAUCGGUAGCCGGCCUGAGAGGGUGAACGGCCACAUUGGGACUGAGACACGGCCCAGACUCCUACGGGAGGCAGCAGUGGGGAAUCUUGGGCAAUGGGGGAAACCCUGACCCAGCGACGCCGCGUGGAGGAUGACGGCCUUCGGGUUGUAAACUCCUGUCAGGUGGGAAGAAGAGCCUGUCGGCCAAUACCCGGCAGGAAUUGACGGUACCACCAAAGGAAGCCCCGGCUAACUCCGUGCCAGCAGCCGCG
rnacentral:rRNA from 1 species